rnacentral:rRNA from 1 species
AUUGAACGCUAGCGGGAUGCUUUACACAUGCAAGUCGAACGAGUGGCGGACGGGUGAGUAAUAUAUCGGAACGUGCCCAGUAGCGGGGGAUAACUACUCGAAAGAGUGGCUAAUACCGCAUACUAUUGGCGCGGCCGAUCUCGGAUUAGCUAGUUGGUGGGGUAAAGGCUCACCAAGGCAACGGUCCGGAGCUGGUUUGCGAGGACGACCAGCCAACAUGGGACUGGGACAAGGCCCAGACGUCUACGGGAGGGAGCAGUGGGGAAUUUUGGACAAAGGGGGGAACCCUGAACCAGCCAUCGCUCGUGUAUGAGAAGGCUUUCGGGUUGUAAACCUCUUUCGCUAUCGAAAGGGUAGGUGGAGAAGAAGCGCCGGCUAACUACGUGCCAGCAGCCGCGGUAAUUC